GUACUUACCUGGCAGGGAAGAUACCAUGACCAUGACAGUGGUUUGCCAGGGUGAGGCUUAUCCUUUGCACUCCAAAUGUCCUGAUCACUGCAAUUUCCCAAAAUGUGGGAAACUCAACAGCACAAUUUGUGGUAGUAAGGGGACUGCAUUUCCACUCUCCUC